ACUUUUUUCAAUUACUAGUUCGAAAAAAUUUAUGUAGAUUAAAUAGUUGGUGCAAAAUAGCUCGUGGUUUUCAAUUAUCAAAAAAAGUGCAAGUGUGUAAAUUAAAUACAUUAUCGUGGCUAAUUAAUAAUAGUAUAUGUUUUUUUCUUUUUCAAGUUAUAUUGUGCGAAUUUGGACGUUAUGUUAUGUGCAAGUGUUUAAUUAAUAUAAAUUGAAUUUUUAAUUAAAUAAUGUGAAAAUUAUAAUAAAUAUGGCAAUUCAAGUGUGACAGUGAUAUAGUGAAAUAGUGAAAGUGUGUAAAUUUCAAUAGCGCCUGGACGUGAUUGGAUAAUGGCAGACUACCUGGACAACUUCUACAGGGUUUUGCUGUCUCCUGUCUGCUGUCUGCUGUUUGCUGUCAUAAGUUAUUGAAAAAUAUGGCUGAAACGUCUAAGGUGUUAAUGUGAUGCAUAAAACACAAUUAUUAAAACUGGAACAAAAAAUCAAUGACUAAAUUGGAUUGUCAUGGGAGACAAAAUUAUUUUUGAGUACAUUUAACAUCGAAUUUAUCCACGAUGAAAAAAACUAAUAAUUGUUAAAAUAUGCAAAAGUUUCAAUGAUGAAGAAAAUUAUAAAACAAAAAUGUUAAAAAAAAGUUACUGCUCAAUUUGAAAUCGUUAAGACAAUUGAGGCUACUUGUAUGCUAAAAUAUAACAUGAAACAUACCAAGUCAAUGAUGAUAUUGUUGAAAGUGACAUAAUGUACUUGAAUCUUCAUUUGUCUUACCAAGUGCUAUGAAGUAAGAGCAGAAAAAAAGGGUGGCCAGGAAUUACAAGGACGAAAGUCUUGGAUAUUUAUUAAAUGAAGAGAAAGAUACAACAAAAGGAUGACCAGGAAUUAUAUAAAUAAAUGUCGUCCCAAAUGACAAUUAACAAGGCUCUUGGAAUUUCAUUGACAUCAGAGCAUUUACAACUAAAAAUGGCAACAGAUACAAAAAAUAGAUAGCCAGUUAUUAUUUGGAAAAUAUGUCUAAAUAAGUUACAAAGAUCUUGGCACUUUAUUAAACAACAAAUGAUGUGAGUGAACUUAAAUAAUCUGCAUUGCACUGACAUACAGAGAUGAAACUAAAGUGAGAUUAUUCGACGAGUAAGUGUACUAUAUCAUCACGAUUAGCAAGUGGUGGAAAUGACGAUGAUCGUGAUGCCAGCACCACCAGUGAAAAUUUGAUUAUGAUUCCUGUGAAGCCCUUGCUGAGAUGGAUCCAAUAGAGUCCUUUUCAGUUUAUUCCAUGAUUUGUAAUUCGAGCUGAUUAACAACAAUGAUUUAAAAUUAAAAAUUUAUUAUAUAUUGAAAAAAAAAAAAAAUUGUCUUGAUAUUUAUCAUUUUUUUUUUGUCUUAGGAAAAAUCAUAUAACAUUGUCAAUUGUACCAUGUAAAUCAUCUUUUGUGCAUUAAUUCAUCAAUCAUCAUAUGAACCAGCAGCAACAUAAGAAAUAUAGUAGUGAGACCAUCUUCAUAAUGUUAUGCUUCAACAAUGAUGAAUCCCUGAUAAUAAAAACUUAUUCCUCAAUUAUUAUGAAUGUCAACUUCAAUUGGAUUUACAAAUAAUUGAAUUUGAAUGAAUCUUAACACUUGAAGAAUUAUUUAAUAUGAUUUUAUGAGAAAACUUUACCUUUUUUUUACUACGAAAUUCAAGACCAUGACAUGGUUCUAGUGUUAUUGAUUUUUAUGCUCUUUUUAAUGUACCACCACUUAUUGUUGAUGUUAUUAUUAUUGGUCGAACCUCGCUUUAGAGUUGCAAGAACGCACUGCUCUCUGUUGAAAAAAAUGUACAAAAUAUUAUAACACAGCUAGCUCGAGAUCUUCUUUUCAAAUUGAUAAAUCGUUUUCAAAUAAUAAUAGUAUUACAAAGUGAAUUAUCAAGCU